UGUAGGCUGAUUAAAGUGAACAAGUCGCAGAAGACAGCUUGAAACUGCGUCCGGUGCAGAGAGAGUGGUCACCGAGGCUAGGCUGCGGCCAGUGCCCUACAAAAGUGGCAUCGAUGCUGUGAGCGUCGGAAUGAUGUGAGAUCGGCCCUAUUUUCUUUUCCACAUUACUUCAAGAUAUUCAACAAAAUGGCGGCUGGAGGAGUACAAUUUCUGCAGCAGUGGAUCAAGCAGCGCUGGACGAGCGAUGCAGCAGGAGAAUCGGCUGGAAGCCGGUGCGGUCCGUUCAUUUCGGUGGGAUGCU